GAUUGAACGCUGGCGGCAGGCUUAACACAUGCAAGUCGAGCGGAGAUGAGGUGCUUGCACCUUAUCUUAGCGGCGGACGGGUGAGUAAUGCUUAGGAAUCUGCCUAUUAGUGGGGGACAACAUUCCGAAAGGAAUGCUAAUACCGCAUACGUCCUACGGGAGAAAGCAGGGGAUCUUCGGACCUUGCGCUAAUAGAUGAGCCUAAGUCGGAUUAGCUAGUUGGUGGGGUAAAGGCCUACCAAGGCGACGAUCUGUAGCGGGUCUGAGAGGAUGAUCCGCCACACUGGGACUGAGACACGGCCCAGACUCCUACGGGAGGCAGCAGUGGGGAAUAUUGGACAAUGGGGGGAACCCUGAUCCAGCCAUGCCGCGUGUGUGAAGAAGGCCUUAUGGUUGUAAAGCACUUUAAGCGAGGAGGAGGCUACUGAGACUAAUACUCUUGGAUAGUGGACGUUACUCGCAGAAUAAGCACCGGCUAACUCUGUGCCAGCAGCCGCGGUAAUACAGAGGGUGCGAGCGUUAAUCGGAUUUACUGGGCGUAAAGCGUGCGUAGGCGGCUUUUUAAGUCGGAUGUGAAAUCCCCGAGCUUAACUUGGGAAUUGCAUUCGAUACUGGGAAGCUAGAGUAUGGGAGAGGAUGGUAGAAUUCCAGGUGUAGCGGUGAAAUGCGUAGAGAUCUGGAGGAAUACCGAUGGCGAAGGCAGCCAUCUGGCCUAAUACUGACGCUGAGGUACGAAAGCAUGGGGAGCAAACAGGAUUAGAUACCCUGGUAGUCCAUGCCGUAAACGAUGUCUACUAGCCGUUGGGGCCUUUGAGGCUUUAGUGGCGCAGCUAACGCGA
rnacentral:rRNA from 1 species